rnacentral:rRNA from 1 species
UGGGGAAUUUUGGACAAUGGAGGAAACUCUGAUCCAGCAAUUCUGUGUGUGUGAAGAAGGUUUUAGGACUGUAAAACACUUUUAGUAGGGAAGAAAAAAAUGACGGUACCUACAGAAGAAGCAACGGCUAAAUACGUGCCAGCAGCCGCGGUAAUACGUAUGUUGCGAGCGUUAUCCGGAAUUAUUGGGCUUAAAGGGCAUCUAGGCGGUAAGACAAGUUGAAGGUGAAAACCUGUGGCUCAACCAUAGGCUUGCCUACAAAACUGUUGAACUAGAGUACUGGAAAGGUGGGUGGAAAUACACGAGUAGAGGUGAAAUUCGUAGAUAUGUGUAGGAAUGCCGAUGAUGAAGAUAACUCACUGGACAGAAACUGACGCUGAAGUGCGAAAGCUAGGGGAGCAAACAGG